GUUUCCGUAGUGUAGUGGUUAUCACUUUCGCGUCACACGCGAAAGGUCCCCAGUUCGAAACUGGGCGGAAACA